UACGAAGGGGGCUAGCGUUGCUCGGAAUCACUGGGCGUAAAGGGCGCGUAGGCGGCCGUUUUUUAAGUCGGGGGGUGAAAAGCCUGUGGCUCAACCACAGAAUGGCCUCGAUACUGGGACGCUUGAGUAUGGUAGAGGUUGGUGGAACUGCGAGUGUAGAGGUGAAAUUCGUAGAUAUUCGCAAGAACACCGGUGGCGAAGGCGGCCAACGGACCAUUACUGGACGCUGAGGCGCGAAAGCGUGGGGAGCAAACAGG
rnacentral:rRNA from 1 species